rnacentral:lncRNA from 1 species
GGGCUCCGGGCUGCUGCGCCGCCGAGCGCCCGCAGGAGGAGGCAGCGGGGAGAGGGAGCGCGCCCGGCGCACGGGGGGUCCCGGCCCCGCGCUGCGCCCCCCCGGGGCUUCGCCAGCCCCAGCCCCGCCUGCAGAGCCGCCGGCGAACGGGGCCACGCCGGUGGUGCCCGGGAGGAGCGGAGGGCAGGUGCUCGGCGCCGCGUUGGGCACGGCCCCGGGCCCGGCGGCGCGGCUGUGAGCCCCCGAGGGGGGGUCCCCCCCAGCCGGCCUCUCCCCUCCCUGCCCUCCGGAGCAAACGGAGGCGGCUCCGUGGCCCCCCCCGGCCCCGCCGCCGGUGGUCACGGAGCUGGAGCCGAGGCUUUGCAUGCGUCAUCCCCUCCGCGUCAGGAGCAUGCCUGGCACAGGCAGAGCUCCUCCGCGGGCCUCGCCGCACGCUCCGCCGCUGAGCAAGGAGCAAGGACGUCACUCGGCCCCGGCGGGGGGGGAGGAUGGGGGCCAUCCUUCCAGGAAGCCCCCCCGUGGGGCACGCCAGACCACCCCGCUUCUCCCCCCGGCGUGGGGCACGCAGCCACCCUGCCGCCACCCCGCCCGGUGUCCCCGCAGGGGCCAGGGAGGGGACGUCACCCGCAGUCCCCACCGAGGGGUGCGGGAUGCGUUUGGGCACGCGGAUGCCCCGUGCCGUGGUGGGGAGGUGACAGCCCUGCCCAAAAGGGGGCAUCCUUCUCCCUGGGGCACCACCCGGCUGCCCCGGCUGCCAUAGGGCAGCAAGCCCAGGGCCACCUGCGUGGCAGGGCAGGGUCCUGCCGCACCGGCUGUGUGCUGGGGACACCAGGAGAGCCACCCGCAGCCUCACCAUGGCCCCUGUCCCCGUCUGUCUCGCAGCCAGUGGCACCAGCACCACACGGUGCUGGGCUCCAUGUGCCCAGCUCUGGCAGGCUGCGAGGGCUGUGCUCCAUGGCCCCGAGUGCCCCUUCUCCCCCACCAUUCCCCUUGACCCCACGGCCAUGGUUAGGGAUGGAGAAGCCCCCACCAGGACCCCCGUGUGGGCAGGACGUGGGGGGAAGCGAGGCAGGGCCAGGUCUCACCCCACCGCGCAGCGGGGCAGGGCUGCAGCCAGGUGCUGAUCCCUGCUGCCUCCUUUCCCCCUCUCUGUGGGCACAGAGCGGGCUCCGGGGGGGCUCCCCCACCCCUUUGUGCAGGCUGCAAAUGAAAAUCCCAGGCAGCGCGCACAUCCCCCGCUCACCGCUGGCCCAUUCGCCCAGAUCCUGGCCCCGCGGGGUUUGUCCCGAGCUGCUCCUGCCCCCUUUCCACCUCCUUCCCGGGGCUGCUCCCCUCCUCGAAAGCAGCAGGGCAGCAGCUGGGAGGUGA